rnacentral:rRNA from 1 species
CUGGCUCUCUUUGGAGGGCAUGUGCACGCUUGUUGUCUUUUUAUUUCUCCAACUGUGCACAAAUUGUAGACCUUCUCUCUGGAGGACUAUGUUGUUUUUCACAAUCUCUGAAUGUAAUAGAAAUCUGGGGAAUAUACAAUACAACUUUCAGCAACGGAUCUCUUGGCUCUCGCAUCGAUGAAGAACGCAGCGAAAUGCGAUAAGUAAUGUGAAUUGCAGAAUUCAGUGAAUCAUCGAAUCUUUGAACGCAUCUUGCGCUCCUUGGUACUCCGAGGAGCAUGCCUGUUUGAGUGUCAUUUAAACCUUCUCAACUGCUCCAAUUUGGUGUGGCUUGGAAAUGGGGGGAUUGUGCAGGCUUUUCAAAAGUCUGCUCCCCUGAAAUGUAUCAGCGGCGUCUGAGCAGGACUACCACAGGUGUGAUAACUGUCAAUGCCUUGGUAUACAUGCUGCGCUGUCUUUAAAUGUGACCCAUUGUUGACCAACUUGACCUCAAAUCAGGUAGGAUUACCCGCUGAACUUAAGCAUAUCAAUAAGCGGAGGAAAAGAAACUAACAAGGAUUCCCCUAGUAACUGCGAGUGAAGCGGGAAAAGCUCAAAUUUGAAAUCUGGCAGUUGUUUGACUGUCCGAGUUGUAAUCUAGAGAAGUGUUACCUGUGCUGGACCGUGUAAAAGUCUCCUGGAAUGGAGCGUCAUAGAGGGUGAGAAUCCCGUCUUUGACACGGACUACCUGUACGUUGUGGUGUGCUCUCAAAGAGUCGAGUUGUUUGGGAAUGCAGCUCAAAAUGGGUGGUAAAUGCCAUCUA